GGGACGCCCCUUUGCUCAGCGGCCCCGCCCCCGCCGUGGAGCGCUGGGCGCAGGCGCGGAAAGCGCGGCCGCCGCCUGGCGGGCUUCGCAGGCCGGGACGCUUCGGGCGGGGGCUGCUUUGCUGGAGCUUCGUUUAAAGCGUGUGGCGGGGGUUCAAUAGAAGGGGACGAAGACCCCCGGGAACACAGCAAACAGGCUGUCGCCCAGGUGGUCGGAGUGGGACGCCAGAGUUGUGAGAAUCAAGACCAAGGGAAACAAAAUCCCACUUGGCAACCCCCACGCAUCCCUCUCAGCGCCCGGAUCUGGUCUGAAAGAUCUGUUCCCAGGAACUUCCUCAGAGAAGCUUUCCCUAAGCUGUCUUUGCUCUUAGCCUUGGAAUUAUUUUAAUUUCCUCCUUUGCUGGACUAUAAGUUCUGUGAGAGAAGGGACCAUGUUGGCCUCAUUCAACCUCAAAUCCUCUUCUUGUAGCUGAGUCCCCUACCCUCGGUUUUUGCCAUCAUCAGGAGUAUGAUACACACACACAGAGAAACCACAUAGGCUAAGCCUGGGCCCUCUCUGCCCGUGAACUCUCUAUCCACAGAGUUUAACAGGGAGCCAACUUGCAAAGCAAAAACAUGGUUUUCAGAGUUUCAGCCCCAGCAUCAUAAGCAAAGCAUCAAAGGGAAAACGGUCCUGAUGACUUUGCCCAGUUUUUAAACUUGGAAUUGUCUUACAUGGAACUGAAAAGCCCUCGCACACAAGGAGAUUAAUCUCACGGUGUUGAAACUUUUGGAAACCUGGCAUGGAAUUUUCUUCGUAGAUUUGAAAUUCAACUAAGAGAGAUCUACAAUUAGUAAACAAAUAUGGGGAAGUGUUCAACCUCAUUAGCAAUCCAAGAUAUACAAAUCAGAGCAGCAAUAAGAUAACCUUAAUAGUUUGGAAUAGUGCUGGUUUCUAGUGCUGGCUGCCUUGCUGUUACUUCUACUUUGAAAUGUUGCUGGAGGUAGUACAAUUGAGACAAACCCUAUAAAAAAUAAUUUGGCAAUGCAUUUCAAGAACCACAAAAUAUUCUGGAUCUGUAUUUUUUGAAAAUGAAAUUGGAAUCUACAAAAUAAGAAAAAAACUAUAUGCAUAAGAGUUUUUGUGUCACCUUUAUUUACAAGAUAGUCAGUGUACCUGGAACUGCUGUUAAUUAGUUCAGUAGAUUGUCUGAGGUUUUGUGUCCCUUAGACGCAGAGCCUGCGAUGGGGAUCAUUGUGCAGUGAUUUCGUGAGAGUGCUUGCAGGUAAAACCUAGGAGUGAGUGAGGGGUCCAGGAUGGGGCUGAGGAAGAAACGAGGUGAAAAUGAGGGUUCAGAUGAGAUCUAGUUUCAGCCCAAGCCCAGGGGGAACUCUGGAGUGUGAAGAGCCCCAUAACAUUGUCCCACCUUGAACGAAGGGCCUGGCCUUUUGCACAGUGCCAGUCUUUGGAGGAGCAUCAUCUCUAGGGGGAGAGUGUAAUCUUUCCUGCAUUUCCAGGUGAGGCAGCUCCUGUCAACCCUGGAGAAGAGUUCAGUUCAGAGCACCUGGAGGAUGGACCCACUGGCCUGGUAAUGGAGGUCUGCACUCCUCACCUCACCGGAUUGGAGAAUAUGAUUGAUGUGUAGAACCCAGUUCAAUUUAUGAAGUCUAGUGUUCACCCAGGGCAGAUCUCCUGAACUUCAGUUAGGUUUACCAGCCUAACCUUAUCCCUUCGUCUUCUGGGAACAGCGUGCCCCUUUAUCUGAAAAUUGCUUCUUCCAGCGGGAGCUGCUAGAUUGUUUCUCCAAUAUAUCCCAUCUCCUUCUCUCCACUCUGCCUUCUACCACCACUUGGCCGUAGAUGAAAACCAGAAACAAAAAGGAGACCUUGGGAAUUUUGAAGAGAAAUUGGGAGGAAUCUUAAAGCUAGCAGGAGUGGCCAGUCUUCUGCCAAGUUCAUUCAGAAGAGUUUUUAAGUGGAAAAAAAAAAAGUAUUUGCCCAUUUGAGAACUUUUUUUGAGAAGUCUUUUAAAUUGAUGUCUUUUUACUAAAGACUUCCUGUUUAAACCAGAUACUCUUAUUUCUACCUACACUUUAGAAAUGAGUGAUAAAUAUGCAAAUUCAAAAGUAAUAAAUGAAAAUCGCUGAGGUUUUUUCCACCUAAAGCCUUAAAAAUAUUCAAGAGAUGAAGGCAUUGAACACAGCCUGAGAUGACAGAGAAGCACAAAAAUUCAGGAAGACGUGAUGUGGCCAAGUGCUUAUGUUCUAGUUCAGAUCCCUGUUCUACCACUGAACGUCUGUGACUUUGGAUAAGAUCUUCCCAAGCCUCAGUUUCUUCAACGAUCUAAUGGGAGUGGUAUUUCUUUCCUCCCUGGGCAGCGUGGUGGUGGAGAGGGCAGGGAGGUCUGUCUUUUAGGUUCUCAAGUCCGACCGCCUGGCUUUCAACGUUGACUUCGCCUCACACUAGCUGUGUGACCUUAGGCAAUUAGCCCCUCUGGCCUCAGUUUCCUUUCCUGAAAAAGGAACAUAAUAAGAGUACUUACCUUCCGGGGGUGACUGAGUCAAUACCACUGAAAUGCUUAGAAGAAUACUUGACACACAGAAAGCACCAAAACAACAUUGGCUGAUGAUUUGUUGGAAAUUUUUAUGACUUUUAAAUAAUGUUUGUAAAGAAAGUAAAUAUGUUCAAUAACUUCUCUAACAAGGAUUUGAUCUGCAUGUAUUUCAUAGCAUGGGGGGUUAUUCUGUAUGCACAUCAGCUGAGUUUUCCAGUUUGAUGUCAUCAUCAUUUAGAACAAAUGAAUCACAUAUCACAUGACAAGACAAUGGAGGCCUUCUAUGUGGAAUAUUGACAGAUAGAUCUCUCUAAGUUCGUAUUAUUAAUAUGGUGCAUCUUCUUUCUUCAUUUCUUUUUCAAGGAAUAUAAAAUAUUCUCCUAUCUUAGCAUGAUGGGUCAUACUGACACCACUGAAAACAAAACAGUCACUAAGAAACAGGUUUUAAUAAAAUUUGCUCUCCUCUUUAAGAAUGACAAGAAUGGAAGGAAGAGAGGGAGGGGAGAAGAGAGAGAGACUGUGAAAGUGAACAAAUGGGGCAUAAAAAUAAAACAAAAUAAAGUAGUUUCA
rnacentral:lncRNA from 1 species